rnacentral:rRNA from 1 species
CCCAUCGUCUCUCUCGCCACUUCUCCAAGCUUCCCUAAAAAAAAACAGUUCUCCAGGCGGCGGCCGCUGCUUCUCUCUCCUCCCACCGCCGGCGGCCUCGCGCUCCGCCCCCCUCCCCCGGCGGUCCCGUGAGCAGCUUGGCCCAGCACCGAGCGACGCCGAGAGCUGGCCGCGUCGGGCGCUGCUGGCAUGGGGAGCAGCGGAGCAGGCGCGGCGGCGCGGAUGGACCCCGAGGCGGCCACGGAGCUGGCGCGGAAGGGGGUCACCCUCCUGCUCCUCGACGUGCCCCAGCACACCGUCCUCGGCCUCGACACGCAGGUGUUCUCGGUCGGCCCCAGGUUCAGAGGGAUCAAGAUGGUGCCCCCAGGCCCGCAUUUCCUCCACUACUGCUCCCCCAGCAGGCACGGGAAUGAGUUCGCGCCGACAGUCGGAUUCUUUCUUACUACUCACCCAUCUCAGGUGGUCGUUCGAAGAUGGCAUGCUCAAGAGGAGAGAUUAGUGGCACUAUCAGAAGAGGAGGAAAUCAGAUACUCUGAAGCAGUAAAACGUUUCGAGUUCGAUGAUCAGCUUGGACCAUACAAUUUGGACUCUUUUGGUGAUUGGAAACAACUUUCAAACUACUUGUCACAAAGUGUAAUCGAACGCCUUGAGCCAAUUGGUGGAGAAAUUACAAUUGCGUUGGAGACAUCAUGGAUGGAUAGAGCUCCCCAAACAGAGAUGGAGAGACGAUUGAUGGAACAACUUAGAGAAGACAAAUUUGCAAAGAAAGCCCCCACACAGCCUGAGCGUAGAGGAUGCUACUACACAACUAUCCCUGCUUCUGUUAAACACAAGAACAUUUCUGCAGAUGAGCUGACUUUGCUGAAUUUGGACAGAACGAGCUUGCUGGAGACUGUCCUGGCCAAAAAUUAUCAAGGCCAAGAAGAUUUACUCUUGGGGGAGCUGCAGUUCUCUUUCAUAGCGUUUAUGAUGGGACAGUCGCUAGAGGCGUUUAUGCAGUGGAAAGCAUUGGUCAGUCUUCUUUUGAGCUGCAGUGAAGCUCCACUUCAUACAAGAACACAAAUGUUUGUAAAGUUUAUAAGGGUUAUUUACUAUCAAUUCAAGCAUGGCUUUCAACGUACACAUGAUUCCAGAAGUAGUGACGACAAGGGCAACUCUUUGUUUCUGGAUGAAGCAUGGUUCUCAAGAGACAUAUUUCUUUACCGGCUUUCCAAGGAUUUCUUGACGGUAAUAUUUGAAGCUCAAGUCGUGGAUGGAGACCUUCUGUCAUGGGCUAGGAAACUUAAGACGCUUCUGGAGACCACUUUUGGAUGGGAUCUCGAGAACAAUGCGGCGAACCUUAUCGAUGAGGACGACGAGUUUGCUCCCGUGGUCGUGGAAAUGGACGGCUAGCGUGGAAACUCUAGGGAAUCUUAAGAUGGAUGUGAUGCUUGCUUAUACCCUUAAGAAGAUCUGCAUGGGUGGGUACUUGCUUUACACUACAAGCUGGAGUAUCUAGUUCCCAAAAUGUUGGUUGUAAAUAUACACAUAUCUGCAUCGUCCUGGUUGAAUUUCGUCGGCUUUGCAGAUCAUGAGCUGAUUUCCGCCAUCAUUUUUGUCUGGAUAAUACGACCCCCGAGUAUAAUUUGCAGAUCAUGAGCUGAUAUUCGCGGCCACUGCGCUGCGUUGGGAUCCAGGACUCUCGUGAAUUUCGGCGGGUAAUUUACCUGCUGCCAGCUCUGCCUGCAGGAGU